GCCUACCUAGCUCUCUCGCUAAACUGAUUAACCUCAAGGAUUUCAGGAUAAGUGACAAUAACUUUACUGGCAUCAUCCCAGGAUAUAUUGGCAACUGGUCUCAGCUUCGAGAGUUACAUUUAUCCGCAAGUGGACUGAAAGGACCUAUUCC